CCAAUAAAAAGUUCAUUUUAUUUUUAUUUUAUCUUUAGAUUAUUAUAAGCUUCAUGGCUGUUUUAUUUACAUCUUCACUUUUAAGUUUUUCAAACUAAAUAAUGAGUUUAAAAUUUUUAAGAUGAGACUGAAGUUUAAAAGCUUCUUAGGCUAAAAAUGCAAACGCGAUGCUCAGCAAGAGAGUUUAAGGGCAAAAACAAACUUAGAUGUCAUAUUUGAGCCCAACGGAUCCAAGUCUCAAAAUAGUAAACUAAACCGUACACGGAGAGUACCACGCACAUGUGAGAUGAUGCAUGUUCGUUUAAAAUAACAGCCCUCGUUGAUUCAAACCGCACAUAUGUGCCAAGCAGUAAACCAUAGAGAAUUAAAAUAAAAUAACUUUUCUUCUUUUUUUCUUUCAUAGCUCAUCGAUUUAAAAUUACAAUAAAAUAAAUCUGACAAUUUAUUAUUAUUAUUUUUAGAGAUUAAAGACUUAUAUUUUAUCACGGCAAUUAAAACUUUGAGUUGGAGGGUCCGUCAUGCUUUAAAAGUUUCUUCCCGAAUUUGAGUGGAGGUUAUUGCUAACUAGGUUACAUGAAAUUGCGCAUUGCUUUCAUCCUUCGGAUCAAACAUUAAAUACAAAGCGGGUAAACUAAAAAUUAUUUCUUCUUGAAAUUAUUAAUUAUUAAGUAAAGCUUAAUUUUUUAGAAUUUAAUAGGGAAGAAAUGUAUCGCUUCACA